rnacentral:lncRNA from 1 species
UCUCUCCCCAGUCCCUUCUAUUUAGCAUAUUUUAAAAAUUUCUGUAGUAGUAGUUUCUUUCUUUCCUUCCUUUCUUUUUCUCUUUCUCUCUCUUUCUCUCUCGCUCUUUCUUUCUUCUUUCCUUUCUUUCUCUUUCUUUCCUUUCUUUUUCUCUUUCUUUCUUUCCUUUCUUUUCCUCUUUCUUUCUUUCUUUCUCCCCGCCCCAGACAGGGACUUGCCAUAUAGUUCAGGCUCACCUUGAACUCACUGUGUAGCCCUGGCUGGCCUUGAACUUGCAGUGAUCCUCCUGCCUUGGCCUCCUGAUUGUUAGGAUUAGUGUUUCAUAAAGUGAAGAAGAAAGAAAGAAAGAGAAACACAAACAUUAAAUCUGAGUGGUUAGAAGAUUUUGUGGUGUAGGGAAGAAGCCAAACCUGCUGCAGAGGCCCUGUGUGUCUGGUGAUGGCGUCUGCUUCCCCAAGAGGAUCUUGUUGCCUUUGCAGGCAGGGCUGCAGUGGCUGAUGCCCCUGUCUGCAGACUGCCUGCUGUGAAGGAGGACAUUUAGAGGAUGAUUUCCAAGCUACAGCACGGCCAACACAGAGUUUAUAAAAAGAAGGGCAGCACUGUCAAGCGUGGUUUAGAACACAACAGUGGUAAUUGUUCUUAUGCUGAUGAUAAAUUUUUCCUUCUCAACCUGAAUGGAGCAGCCUACUGGGGAAGGUUUUCAGCCCUGGACUCUGUCCGCCUCCCUGCUGGGCAGGAAAGCAAUUGUUCACUUUCAUGCCCUCUUUCUGUUCAGUCCUAGAAACCUGUGACAUUGAAGUUACUGAGCCUUGCAGUUUAGUUAAGGUCUCCAGUUGAGUCUGGGUAAGACACCAGGAAGUGGGGAACUAACUUUCUAAACAGAUUUAAAGAACAGGGGGGCAGUCCCCUUAACAGAUGGCAGUUUGACUUAUGGAAAAGUCAAUUGCCUCUUUUCAUUUCCAGAAGGCACUGAAGAGCUGGAGGAGCAGCUCACAGAGUGGAAAAACUGCAACUGAGAAUAGCAAAAGAGAAUGAGGGACUUCUGAGCCAAGUCAGAUCAAAGAACGUUUGAGGACGUGUGAGCAUUUGGAACACUUCAAAGGCGUGACAAGAGCUAUUCUCCCCACCUCCAGCCUCAAAUGCAUAUCUAAUAUUCCUGGGCAAGCUUUCCCAUGCAAAGCAAAAUGUUCUGUUUUUCUUCGUCUUUCAUUAGGCUGGGAUCUGAGAGCACAGAAAGUGCAAAACACAAUGAUGAAGUUUAAGGGCAGCCCUUGUUAAACCCCACACUUACAUGAGGAGGUGAGCAUUUAAAACUGCUACUUCAGGUGGCAGUGUUGCUUGUCCCUGCUGAGCUGCUGCUGAUCUCACUGUGGUUUAGAAUUUCUGGAGUAAAUGAAUGAGUGAAUGAAAUGACAAACAGCGAGUGAAGGAUACACAAGCAGACGCCCCUGCUGAAGCUGUGUUGUGGGUUGCAGUGGGCAGGAGGCAGGCGAUGGGAGAAAUAAAGCAGCUUCCUUCUGAGGUCUUCUGACACUCAUGGGUGUGUACCCCUUCAGCAUGUCGAAUGCAUCUGCCGUAGAAAAGUGAUGUGCAGUUCAUGUCUUCCUUUUUAUAACGUUGGAUGGCUGAGAUAAUGUCAUUCUGUUCUGGGUGCUGACCUGGCAUAGGAUACAUUUGGAGGCCUUUAAACCUGGAAUAGAUGAAGGGGCUUCAAAGAAACUGAAUAAAACCGACACAGUCUCUUCGGAUUUUGGUGUAAAUUUACUGAUACAAGAUGGCACUGUGGCUUGAAUGUUUCCUUCAGUAUUCGGUGUUGGACAUUUGUUCCCCAGUGCAGCAUUGUUGAAUGCUGGCUUUGGGAAGUGAUUAGGAUAUUAGGACUCUAGCCUUCAGAUGCACAAACACUGUUAUUGUGUGAAUGGGUUAGUUAUUGUGAGAGUGAGCUCUUCCUUGGUAAAAGGAAUGACCUCUGUCUGUCUGUCUCCCCUCCCCCUUCUGCUAUGAGCUGAAGUGGUAAGGUCCUUGACAGACUCGGGCCUUGACUUUGAACUUUUCCGUGUAAGAAACAAAUCUCUGUUCUUUAUAAAUUACCUAGCCUCAGGUAUUAUGUUACAGCUGCACAAAAUAGACAAAGACAAAUGGAAAGAGAUGACUGUGAAUAUAAACUAAAAACCCACUUGUCUCAAUAAAUUGCAACUGCCUGGGUAGAACAGCAACUGUAAUAUUAUAGUCAAAUUCCUUUAAAAAAUUUGAGGGUAACAUUAGGGUUAGAGAUUUAUGCUUCAUUCUGAGCCACUGACAAACUCAUUCAUAAUGUGUUUUCCCUGGACAUCGGGCUAGCUCGGACUUUCUGGUGGACUCAUCCGCAGCUGUGAUGAUAGAGGAUGCACAGGUGGAGCAGAGUUUGGGGCCCAUAUAUCUUACUCUUCCUGAGGCACCAAAGGUCAGGUCGAUAGCAGCUGCAUGGAUCUUCCACUGUGAUGUUCAAAGUUAAUGUUUUAAGGGGUUGUGUGUGUGUGGUCAUUCGAACUUAUCUCUCGAGGUAAAUUUAGCUUGUGGAAUCAUGGGUAGCUUCUGAUGAGAUUUCAUACCUGGACAAACCCAAACACAAAAACUUAUAUUUGACUAAGAACUUUUCCAGAUCAUGAUUGGAAGCCAUAUGCCAUGACUCAUACCUUGCUGUUAAAAUUCUGUAAAAAUAUUUAAACAAACAAGCCACAGAAGUAAAUUUACAUUUUCACAAAUCCAGUUCGACCUGGACAGCUCUUCUUUACUGAUAAUAAACGGUACUGAAUUCUGUAAAGGAGCAGAUGUCUAUUUUUUGAGGUAAGCAUAUUGUGUCCUGGAUGGAAAACAUCAAAACUUGAAACUCGAGCAGCAAGGAGAAGAAAUGUACACUCAGGUCUUCAGUCAUGAAUAAAACAUCUGAAAUAGGACAAAAUGGACUUUUUCUUAUAAAUAUUGAAGUGACUGGUAUAUUAAUCUACCAACAUCUUUGUCCUUUGUGAGUGUCAAGUGGAACACGGAUGCAUUUUGCUUGGGAAGUGACCCCAAAUGUCACUUAUUUGGAUUGUUAAUCAGAUUUCUCUCUGUGUGUGUGUGUGUGUCUUCAUUUUCUCCUCUAUGCAGUGGGGACAGUGGUAAGGAAACAUGAAGAGCAUCCUGGGGAGAGGGUAAAGCAGGAUAAGCAGGAGUCUGUGUCCCUCUCAGGUAGCAGUCCCUGGAUGACCUAUCUGACAUAGCUACUUUGGAACUCUAGAGUCAACUGAAUGCUGUCAACUUCUAGAAGAAUGUGUAGGGAUCGAAUUGCAGUUAACUUCGUUCAGUUACAGCUCUCAGCUCGUCAGCUGUCUCUGGUCCCCAGCCCACCCCACCCCUAGCUGUGUGGCUGAUGGCAGUGCUUGAGCUCCCGCAGCAGCUUGCAGGACGUUUUUGGAGCCUGUGUGGUGAAGGACCAUGUCCUCCACACGGGGGGCAUCUGUGCCCUGAUUGCCGAGGAGGCUUCUGAUCAAGGGGGUGCAGACACAGAGCAACCGCCCUGUG